CUCAACAACGUCAACCCAGAACAAGAGCGAAACCAGAAACUCCAGCAGUACGUGACUCGUCCAAAACAGCCACGUAGUGCGCCCAUCGAAUCGAGUCUCGCACGUAUUUCUCUCCCUCGACCUGAUCCUCUUGAAAGUUGGAGGACAAGGCCAGGUGUCUCAAUCUCCUUCCAAGCUCGUUCUUGGCUGAAAAUUGGACGACUCUCCCUUCUUUUCUAUUUGAAAAUAGUACGAAUUCGUACACCCUCCAGCUCACCCACCCUUAUCUUUGCUGAUUUUUGAAUUUGGGAUUGUCCCACAUAGUGUCUAACAAGAAAUUCCCCCAAAUCUCUCUUAUAUAAAUCCCUUUCUUUUCACUGUUCAGAGGAGGAUUUUCGGAGACCAAAGAAUACCCAAAAACUUUUGGGAAUUCUUGGUUCCACAAUUCAAAUUUUAAAACGUUUUGUGGCUUUUUGAGUUAAAUAGGUGGAAUUGUUUCCAAACUCGUUGUCCCGAUUUGCUGCUCAGCACAAUGUAAUCAUGUUUUCUUCAACUCUAUUGGAAAAUUAGAAUACCCCUGUUGUUUAAUUGUCAAUAUUUACAGUAAGUUGAAAUUAGAAUACCCCUUUUGUUUGAUUGUCAAUAUUCACAGUAAGUUGUGGAUGAUUAAUGCUCAUGUUUUUCAUUUUCAUCUCAGAACAUGCUCUGUAGCUUUAAAAAAAAAUAAUCCUUUCAUUUCAUGGUCUCGCCUCUUUCACUUCCCACAUUAUUUUAUCCCUAUGAUGGCAUUAUUCUAUCUCCUUAUUUGUGAAAUUUGGUUUGAGAUGAUUAGCUUUUCGUAGUUGUGUUACUUCUAUGUCUGUUGUUUAAAUUAUAGUUGGACUGGUAUCAUAGGGAUCAUCUCUAUUUCACUCUCCUGUUACGUGAGUCUGGUCCAUAAAAAUGAAAAAUAAAAUUGUUUCCUUACAAAGAUGUUUUGAGAAGCAUGGUUGGGUAUUUUACAUCAUGUUUGUGCUUUCUUUCACCAUUGGUUUCAUAAGAUAUUGUCGGCUAUUCAUCCUGCUUGCUUAAGUGGUAGUUCUGACCAAUUUAUUGUGCUUACAUUUAAGUGUUAGUUGGGUGUAAAUGGAGCCUGUAGCAGCUUAUUUGGACUGUUAUACUUACUGUUUGAAUUAGUUUUCUGGUUGUUUCAUUGUUUGUUUAAAUUAUGAUCAGUUGGCGACUGAAAGGGUGCAAAACUCUAUGUUCAAUAACCUUUGUGCCUCUUCCGUGUAAUUGUUUAAGUUAGAGUAUGACAUUCAUAAUUAUUUCCAUUGCACUUCGUUACUUGCUCAUAUUUCUUAGCAACACCAUGUAGUUAGGAUGACUACGGUUAAAUUCCUUUAUUAGUUUUAAGAAAUCAUAUUUUAUUACUUUAAAAAUAUUGUUCACUGUGUUUUGGAUGUUUUACAUGAUGAUAACUAGAUCGUUAAUUUGACAUGAUAUUAUUCACAUUGAGGUUCUUAUUUUACUCUUUUCUUUUCCUCCUUUUGCAUGAACACGCUUUCCGUGAAUGAAUCCAAUGGACUCCCCUCUCUUGCAUUUUCCUCUUUUUGAGUCAACCUUCUUCGGAGUUGUGAAAGGGAGCUAAUAUUAUUGAUUUAGACACCCAAAAAUACAGCAGCAGCAGUAGCCUAAAUGGCUAAAAGAAUAGCAUUUUAUCGUACUUGAAAAGUCCCAAAAAUUGCUCUAAUUGAGGCAGAGUUACGAUAACCUCAAAAGGCUGAAAAUGAGGAGCAAAUUUGGGUUAAAAUUCCUAAUUAAUCAAGCAGUAGCAGCAGCCUUAGAAAGGCUAAUUUUUUUUUUAAAGUUUUGGACUUUCAAAAGUCCAAGCUAAACGGCAGCGGCAUCAACCUGAAGGGCUGGGACUUGGGGGUGAAAUAAAAUUUCAGCCACCCCCUCGUUUUCUUAUUCUCUUAUUUUCCUUGAUAUUAGUAUAUUUUCUUUAUUAUAUUUGAUUGUCAAAAACCAACAACUUUAAAAUUUUCUUCUUGACAUAGAAAAAAUUCCCACGGA